GUUAAACUGAGGAAAGUCCGGGCUCCACAGGACAAGAUGCCGGUUAACUGCCGGGCACCGUAAGGUGACAGAUAGUGCAACAGAAAAAAUACCGCCACAAUGUGGUAAGGGUGAAAUGGCGGUGUAAGAGACCACCAGAGGUACAGUAAUGUAACCUUGUUAUGUAAACCUCAUCUGGAGCAAGUUCAUAAUGCAUAGGGUUGUCCGCCUAAUAUGCUGGUAGAACGCUAAAGGUAUAUGGUAACAUAUAUCUCAGAUAGAUGAUUGCUUAAACAGAACCCGGCUUAUGUGA
rnacentral:RNase_P_RNA from 1 species